ACAUAUUAUUAAACUUUGUUUGAUUUUCUCCUGUUAUUCUGAGUCAUGUCAGUUUAAUUCUUAAAUGAACCAGAAGAACCUAGAGGGUAGAGGAAUAGUUCUUCCUCCCCUAUAGGGGUAAGGUUUCAACACAAUAAUUUUAGGGGGACACAAACAUUCAGACCAUAACAAAGAUUCAAAUAAAUGGAGAGAUAUACUAUGUUCAUGGAUGGGAGGUUUAAUAUGAUUAAGAAUCCAUCAUCUGAAAAUUAAUGUAUUGCUUCAAUGCAAUCCCAAUCAAAAUUCCAGCAGGAUCUUUUGUAGGAUUCAAUGACCUGAUGCUAAAAUUCAUAUGGAAAUACAAUAACUUGGAAUAGCCAGAAGAAUUUAGAAGAUGAACAAAGUUGAAGAACUUUCACUACCUGAUUUAAAGACUGAUUAUAAAGCUAUAAUAAUCAUGACAGUGUGUUAUUGGUACAAAAAUAGACAACUCAAUGAAACCGAAUACAGAGUCUAAAAAUGAACUGCUGUGGUUUGAAUGUUUGUGCCUCCCCGAAAUUGAUAUGUUGAAACCUAACCCCCAAGGUGAUAGUAUUAGGAAGUAGGGUCUCUGGGAGGUGACUAGGUCAUGAAGCCAGAGCCAUCCUGAAUAGAAUUAGUGCCCUUAUAAAAGAGGCCUGAGAAAAUUCUCUUGCCCUUUGCAACCAUGUAAGGACCGAGUGAAAAGACAACCAUCUGGCCCUCUCCAGGUGUCAAAUAUGCCAGUACCUUGAUCUUGGACUUCCCAGCCUCCAGAACUGUGAGAAAUAAGUGUUUGUCAUUUAUAAGCCUGCCAGUCUAUUGCAAUCUGUUACAGUAGCCUGAGUGGACUAAGACAGAAAGUGGGACUGCUGUACCAAAAACAGAAAGUGGAAUGCUGCUGUAACAAAUAUCUAAAAAUGUGGAAGAUGCUUUGGAAUUGGGCAAUGGGUAGAGGCUUGAGAAGUUUGGAGGUGCAUGCUAGAAAAAGCCUAGGUUGCCAUGAAUGGACUGUUAAGGGAGAUUAUGGUGAGAAGUCAGAAAGAGAGAAGGAGACUGUAGAGAAAGCCUCAAUCUUCUUAGAGAAUACCUAAAUAAUCCUGAACAGAAUUUUGGUAGAAAUAUGGACGGUAAAGGCCGUUCUGAUGAGGCUUGUCAAAUGACAAAACUGAAACAAUUUAGUGGCAAGUUUGAUGUCCUUUAUCCAACAUAAAACAGUCCAUGGAUUGGGGAAGUCCAGUGUCUCACAAGCAGUGGGACACUGUUCCCAGGGAUUUGAGGUAGAUGGAGUUUUAUAGAAUGUUAGAAGAGGCAACUGAGAAAUGGCAUAAUUGGCUAGUAGGUCAGGGAUUUCCUUAUAAAACUAGCAGGUCUUAUUUUCUAGGGUCAGGUAAGCUAACUAAACAUGAUUUCGUGAAUGAUGGUUGGUGUAUGUUAGGUUUCCUUGACUGGUGUUUCCUGUAAGUGCAGGCUGACUUAGUUUUAGAUUUGUGAUAUGGGCAGGGUCACUGGGAAAGCCUCCAUUUUGUGGGUCCUGAUAUAUAAAUUAAGUUUAUCAGGUCGCAGAUGAAAGUAAAGAAUAUGUUAUUGGACAAUGGAGAAAAGGUGAUCCUUGUUAUAAAGUGGCAAAGAACUUGGCUCAAUUGUAUUCAUGUCCCAGUCUUUUGUGGAAGUGGGAAUUUGUGAGUGAUGAAACUGUCACUAAGGGAAAUCCCUAAAACAUUUUCCAUGUCUAAUUCUUUGUUUUUAAGUUUUGCUUGCUUAUAGGAACCAAGGCAGAACAUUGCCAGAUGGCCAAACUACAGAACCGUUCCAAACCAGAAAGGUCCAAGAUGGCAGUGUAAUGCCAUGCACAAAAGGAAAUGUGUGCAAAAGGUGCCGUGUACAAGAAGGGAAGACCUUUACAUGCCCCAGGUGACAAUGCGGAGACUCCUCCCACUUCACAUCCCAUAAGAACCCUGCUUACCUUCCCUUUGGGGAGAAGGUGUCUUAGAGCAGGAGCUCUGCCUCCUCCUUUUAUUGAUCAAUGAGUAACGUUUCUGCUCUGCUAUUCUGAACCUAGCCUUGUUCUAUUGGCUCAGGCGGCUCCAGGCAAAAGGACCCACUCGUAGGUCACCGGUCCCUCAAGGCUUGGUAACAAAACAUGCAACUCCACCAGGACUGGAAUCGUUGCUGGCUUCUCUCGUUGAUCCCAGCCUCCCCACUCCCAAAAGUUGAAGCAAUGGGCUGUGGAAGCAUGUCAGGCUGACUCACCUAUGUUUUUCGAGGCUUGUGAACCUAAGGGAAACCAGGACUGUCCUGCCUGGUGCUUGGUCACCAGACCCUCCCCACUGACGCUUGGAACCAGAAAUAGCAGCUGCACUUAGACUUUUGUCUUCUGCUGCUUCAUUGGAGUCAAGGGGGAUCUCCUACAAGCCAACAAAGUCUACCUUCAGUUUAGCAGCAGAACAGAGUGUGUGUGCACACACGGGACUGAGGGAGAAGAGGGGCUUCUCCCCAGGAAUGGACUGAGGGAGCCCCUCUCCCCAGGAAUGGUCUUAUCAGUCCUUUAAGAGAGUCCCUCUCCCAAGGACGGGUACCCAGUGCAUGAGAGAUGGACUGGGUGAGGGAUCAGGGAUACCUGAUCUCUCCAGGUUACAAUUGGGGGCGCCCAACCCUUGCAGCCAGAAUGCCUCCGUGGGAGGUUUUGAGGUGGCAACAGAAGGAGGUAAUGUUGACUCCAUUUGUAGGAUUCUCCACAGCUGGAUCAUGCUUUCUCCAAAACUCAAAAUGGGUAAAAGACUUAAAUAUAAGACCUGAAACCAUAAAACUCCUAGAAGAAAACAUGAGGCUUCCUCUAAUUGUUCGUGGUUUUGUCCUGGGGAGUGAAGCAAAUGUAAUCCGUCAUCUGUGGGGGCAGCUGCCCAGUAUUUGGAAAUAGCUGUAACACGUGCUGCUCUCCCUCCCUGAUGCUGUCGCCUACUCCACCAGCACUAUAGUCUCUUCUCAAGACAAGGGCUCUUCCGAGAAGUCCUCCUAUGUCAGCAUCUCCAGAACUCUUCUCAUCCUGGGUACAAUCUUCGGGAUUCAGUUGAGAAAAAGAGAUUCAAGGGAAAUUUAAUUCCAGAUUUUAAAUAUUAAGUUGAUUCACAUUCACUGUGCCUUUCCCAAACAUCCAAUCUAGAAGAGAACUUUCAUUAUAUUCUUUCAGGUUACCUUGUUCUAUUCCUUCAUAGCAUUUAUCAUACAACAUUUAUAUUAAUACAUUUAAUCAAAUUGUACUUAUUUAUUUAAUUUAAUUCAUGUUACAUUUUUAAACAAUUAAAUGUUUAUUUAAUAACAAUUAUACCUGUAAUAAUAUCUCUCUCUCCCACUGGUCUGUAAAUUCUAUGAGGCAGAAACUAUGUCUAUUUUGUUCACCACCUUAUUUCUUGCCCUCAGCAUAGUGCCCAACAGGUAGAUGUUAAUAAGUUUUUAUUUUGAUUUUCAGCUGGUGAAUAAAAUGAAAUUCACAUUAUGAACUUAAUUAAAGAAAGCAUAGUGGAAUUGUCUUCUUAUGUAGAAAAAGUUUCCUAGGAGAAAUGAGGUUUAAGAUGAAUUUUAAAGACAAGGUUUCCCGGAUUGAUAGAGAAAAACACUCCAGCACGUAGCACAUUAUCUAAUGUGGUGGAAAUGGAUAGCUGUCCACUAAGGUCCUCCUCCCCUUCUUCUUGGACACAUGGUUAAGCUACAUUUCCAAGCCUCCCUUCCUGUCAGUUAACUCCCUUGCUGCUAUCUAAGUUCUCACCAAUAAAAUAUGAAGGUAAGUGAUGGCUACCAUUCUGAGUUUCUGUCUUAGAAGUGGUUGUGUUUCCUCCUUCCCUUUUCUCUCUUCCUACUGACUGGAACCCAGACAGGGCUGUGACCCACUCUCAACAAUACAGAUAACAGCAAGGCCACAAGUGGCCUAUGCUCUACUUAUGGUGCUACACGUUAAAAGGAGCCUGGGUCCCUUUCUGACUGCCCAGAGCAGAGCUGUCCCACUCAAUUGGACUGUACAUCUUGCAUUAUUAUGUGGAAGAGAAAUAAACCUUUUUUCUCUUUAGGCCACAUUAUCAUUGGGUCUCUUCUUAUAACAAGUUACCCUGUGCUCUAACUAAGACAUCUGUCAUUUAGAAAAUGCUCAAUCAAUAUUUAUUAAAUUCACAGUAUAGAGAAUGGCAUAUGUGGCAUAGCUGAAAGAAUCUAGUCACAAAGAGAGGAGACAAGUGUGCUCAAAACAAGAAGCUAAUGAAAAGAGCGGUGAGAAAUUGACAAGGGUAAUAAAUUUUGGACAGUAGUUGAGACUAGUAUAAAGUAUAAAUUAUAGUAUAUUAUUACACCUGCAUGUACCUGCCCCUCAAAAUGAAUAAAUGUUAGCAUUUUGGGAAUUUACUUCAGAUUUUUUUCCUUUUUUUAAAGAAAUAACACCUUAUAAGUGAAAUUACAAUUCCCUAUAGUUACCCUCCCUGCAGAAGGCUUUUCGACAUGCCUCUUGAAAUAUGGCACCUACAGCUAAAAUCCAAAUAAGGCCUUAUUGUGAGAGUAAGUAUAGAGAGUCUGCUUCUCACUGCGAUCUGAACAGUAGAGUUCUAUUAACAGAGCCCAAGAUUGAAUUCUGUGUUUAAUAACUGCUUAAACACUGUUGCUUAUAUUAAACUUGAGAUUGACUAAAACUGUCUAGCCCUCUUUCACAGCAACCUCUACCACCAGUUGUCCCCUUUCUGUGCUGACAAACUUUGUGAAAUUGAAUACUAACACAAGUGCACCACCCAACAUUUACCACUUGUAAUCGUUACCCUACUGAUUUUGCUCUAUUGACGACAGAGCGUGACUUUCCUUCUUGUGAAUUUUUGGCAUCUAAUGGCUGACAUUGCUCACUUAUGAGCACUGAAAAAUUCCAGAUGGAUCCUAGAACUUCCAAUAUCCUGCAUUAGGAUGAUCACUGGGUCCUUUCCCAAAACCAGUCAUUAUAUCAGGCGGGGACAGGGUGCUUGGUGAAAGCAAGGUCCUGUUUUAGAUUUUUUGUUUUGUUUUGUUUUCUAUCUGAACAAGUUUCAUUUAAAAGUUGCUAGACAUUUUCUGCCACAACCAGUAGCAACAUCAAUUAUCCCUCGGAACAGAUUUCCUUUGUUUUGGAAAAAUUACAUGAAGGAACCCUUUAGUUAUGUUUCCCCCAAUUGUUCUGUGGAUUGUUCUGGGGCAGCAUGGAACAAGAGCUCUGUUUUGUUUUGCUUUUGUUUGCUUACAGGAGCAGAAUCAGUGAAAUUAGUGCUGAGAGAUUUCCAGGUGGUGUUAUUGGAUGAGAAAAGUGAGAUAUGCAGAGGUGUGUAUACUGUGAUUCUGUUUACGCAAAACAAAUGAAACGAAAACAUGUAUGUGUAUAAAUAUGCUUAUAAAUGAUUGUGAAUACAGAAAAAGUACAUUAGGCUUUACACCAGACUGAACACAGGGCGGUCUUGUGGUAUAAGAGAAAAGUAAGAACAGCGAAGGCAGGUAAAAAUGGAAAAAGACAUUUUUUAAAAAGAAGAAGAACACUAAAAAGCAACACUACCCAUGUGAUAUGAGUGAAAGAUUGGACUUUACUAAACCAGUUGUGUGGGGGCUCAAAGACGUUAUAUUUUGAGUACAAAAGGAAUGAGAUCUCAUUUUGUAGUCAAGACUUGUGAGUUUGGGGAACAUCUAUGUUGUACCAUGAAUAUCAAAAUACAAAAAAUAAAACCACGUAAACUAGAAGAAAGGCGAAGGAAAAACCCUUAUGAAAAAAGCAAGUGCAAAUUAUCUCAAGUGUUUUUGGUAAGAGAUUUUAAAAAUGCAGUUUGAGAGGGAACAGUUAAUAGUGCUUCAUCCUUAAAAACAAAGGAAAGAAAUGCUAACCAAAGCAGAUUGGAUUCCAGACAGUGGGAUAAAGUGGGUUGUGACUUGAGACUUCUCCUCCAUAAGUGUUAACCGUUUUAUAGAUGAUGAAGCCGAGUCUUGGAAAGUUUCAACAGCUUUCCUGAGAUUACUGUGGUUGAAUUUGAGCCUGUUUCCAUAAUUCCAAAACCCACGUACUUCUCACUAUAGAAUGACACAUCUGUGCUAGAUUUGGAAUCCAUGCAGGAAUGUGACAUCCAUAUUUGCAUUUGUCCUGGCGGUCUAUGUUACACUCCACAGUGUGUCACCUAGUUUCUCUCUCCUUUUGUACUAAUUCAAAUGUUCUUUAUGUUUCCAUGCUCCAAUGUGUAGAUCCUUACUAAGUUUUUUUUGGGCUCUACAAACCUACGCAAUUUGCACGUAUCUUCAUCUCUCUGACCUGCUCUCCUUUCUUACUGCACUCCAGUCACUCUGGCCUCCUUGUUUUUCCUCAAGCACAAUAAGCACGUUUGCACUUGCUAUUUCCUCUACGUGGAACAUUCUUCCAUCACAUAUCCACUUACCUUGCUCUCUUCCUAGUGAACCCUUUCUAGACCAACUUACUUAAAAUUAUAAUCUCUGUGGCCAAUCUGACUCUUUCUAACCCUAUCUCCUGUUUUAUCUUUUUCUAUCACACUCAUAAUCAUUUAAUAAUUUUGAUGCUAACUUAUUUAUUUUGUUUGAUUCCUACUACAAGAAUUUAAGCUUCAUAGGUGUGUGCUGAGCAUCUGAAAUAGUGCCUAGAACGCAGUGUGUAGAACAUAUGAAUAACUACAUUGCUGUACUCCUUUCCAACCUUCAGGGCUGACAGUAUGGUGUUCAUAAGAAAUGUCUUUUAAUCACUACAUUCUGAUCAUGCAGCUCAUCCUACCAUUUCUAUGAUUUCUAGAGAUAAAAACAGAAGGGAAAGGUUACAGGUGAGAAAAGAGAAUUAAUAACAUUGUUGAAGAAAUUGCAAUUGUAUAACUUGAAAAUAUAAUUUUUAUCUAUUCUCAUACUUCACACAAAAAUUAAUCUAGGUAGAUUAUAUACAUAACACUUUUAAAUGGGGCAAAGCCACAGAAAAUAGACCUUGUCCAUAAAGGGGCAAUAAACAAUAUCUAGCCUGCAAAAAUAAAUCAAGCAUAUUUAUGAUAAAAAAGUUAAGAUUUUAGUAGAUGAAUAGACAGAUGUGAAUAGACAAUGUACAUAAUGGAUACACAACUUGUAAACAAA